ensembl:snRNA U6 U6 spliceosomal RNA
GUGUUUGCUUCCUCAACCCAUAUGCUCAAAUUGGAAAGAUACAGGCAAGAGGAGCAUGGCUCCUGUGUAAGGAUCACACGCAAAUUCGUGAAACAUUCCAUGUUUGC